rnacentral:pre_miRNA from 1 species
AUAUAAAUCACUUGGGGAUCUUGUUAAAAUACUCAUUCUGAUUCCAUAGGUCUGAAGUUAGGCCUAAGAUUGUGUAUUUAUAACCAGCUUUCAGUUGUUGAGGGG